rnacentral:misc_RNA from 1 species
AACUUUUUGCAACGUAUCACGUGGUUCUGGCAUCGAUUAAGAACGCAGCGAAAUGCGAUAAGUAAUGUGAAUUGCAGAAUUCAGUGAAUCAUCGAAUCUUUGAACGCACAUUGCGCCCUCUGGUAUUCCGGGGGGCAUGCCUGUUCGAGCGUCAUUAUAACCACUCAAGCUCUCGCUUGGUAUUGGGGUUCGCGGUUCCGCGGCCCCUAAAAUCAGUGGCGGUGCCUGUCGGCUCUACGCGUAGUAAUACUCCUCGCGAUUGAGUCCGGUAGGUCUACUUGCCAGCAACCCCCAAUUUUUACAGGUUGACCUCGGAUCAGGUAGGGAUACCCGCUGAACUUAAGCAUAUCAAUAAGCGGAGGCU